rnacentral:rRNA from 1 species
CCUGGCGGCCUUAGCGCGGUGGUCCCACCUGACCCCAUGCCGAACUCAGAAGUGAAACGCCGUAGCGCCGAUGGUAGUGUGGGGUCUCCCCAUGCGAGGGUAGGGAACUGCCAGGC